CAGCCGUAAACAAUGUGCGUUAGGUGUGUCGGUAACCACGCGUUACUGAUGCGCCGAAGAGAAAUCGUGAAACGCACCACCUGGGAAGUACGGUCGCAAGGCUGAAACUUAAAGGAAUUGGCGGGGGAGCACCACAACAGGUGGAGCCUGCGGUUUAAUUGGACUCAACGCCGGGAAGCUCACCGGAUAGGACAGCAGAAUGAUUGCCGGGCUGAAGACCCUGCAUGACUAGCUGAGAGGUGGUGCAUGGC
rnacentral:rRNA from 1 species